GGGGAUUUAGCUCAGUGGUAGAGUGCUUACCUAGAAAGUAUGAGCCCCUAAGUUCAGUCCUCA
rnacentral:tRNA from 1 species